rnacentral:ncRNA from 1 species
GUGUUGUAUGAAAGGCGAAAAGGUUAGCAUUCUCCUGACAAGGAAGGACGAAGCCCUCAGGCCUGACAACCUGCAUAGUUAAGGCCUUACCUCCUAAUUCAUGGCAUUUAACCAUAUUUAUGU